GAUGAACGCUGGCGGCGUGCUUAACACAUGCAAGUCGAACGGAAAGGCUCCUACUUGUAGGGGUACUCGAGUGGCGAACGGGGGAGUAACACGUGGGUUAUCUGUCCCGCACUUCGGGAUAUGCCUGGGAAAGUGGGUCUAAUACCGGAUAGGACGAUGGUCUGUAUGCCAUUCUGGAAUGUUUUUCGCUGUGGGAUGGGCUCGCGGCCUAUCAGCUUGUUGGUGGGGUAAUGGCCUACCAUGGCGUCGACGGGUAGCCGGCCUGAGAGGGUGUACGGACAAACUGGGACUGAGAUACGACCCAGACCACAACGGGAGGCAACGGUGGGGAAGAUUACACAAUAGGAGCAAGCCUGAUGCGACGACGCCGCGUGGGGGAUGACGGCCUUCGGGUUGUGAACUACCUUCGCUAGGGACGAAGCGCAAGUGACGGUACCUGGAGAAGAAGCACCGGCUAACUACGUG
rnacentral:rRNA from 1 species